rnacentral:rRNA from 1 species
UACGGAGGGUGCAAGCGUUAAUCGGAAUUACUGGGCGUAAAGCGCACGCAGGCGGUCUGUUAAGUCAGGUGUGAAAUCCCCGGGCUCAACCUGGGAAUUGCAUUUGAAACUGGGAGGCUAGAGUCCUGUAGAGGGGGGUAGAAUUCCACGUGUAGCGGUGAAAUGCGUAGAGAUUUGGAGGAAUACCGGAGGCGAAGGCGGCCCCUUGGGCUUAUACUGACGCUCAUGUGCGAAAGCGUGGGGAGCAACCAGG